GAGGGAGCAGAGCGGAACAGAAGUGGAAGAGGAUGGAUGUGCCAGGCCUCAGGCAAAGAAAUGGCAUUCAGCGGGUGGUCACGCUCCGUCCACAUUCCCACUCUUCCAGAGGGCAGUGGCACUGGUGAUCAUUAAAAACAACAUCACCCUUCAAAAUUGUGACAACUUCUUCCUCUAAUAGCCUGAAUCAGUGUCCCCGGAGAUAUCAGGUCUCCGUCUCUAGAACUGGGGAAUGUGACCUGAUUUGGAGAAGAAAUCUUUGCAGACUGUCACCUUCAGAACUCAGCCUUGUCUGAAAAUCCAUCCAGUCAAGAUGAACAACCACCUGAUGGAGUCACCAGUUACCUGAGGAAGGGGACACAGCCUUGGGAGAUGGAGCUGAGACGUGGCCUCACCUACUCCUUUCAUUAAAGGAGAUAGGACUCAAAGGGAUCAAUUUUACCGUGGGAAGCAGCCCAGGGACCAGAGCCCUGUUUGCAUGGCAGGUAGAG